UACGUAGGGGGCGAGCGUUGUCCGGAAUCAUUGGGCGUAAAGAGCGUGUAGGCGGCCAGAUAAGUCCGCUGUGAAAUCUCGAGGCUCAACUUCGAGCUGUCGGUGGAAACUGUCUGGCUAGAGUCCGGAAGAGGAGAAUGGAAUUCCUGGUGUAGCGGUGAAAUGCGCAGAUAUCAGGAAGAACACCCGUGGCGAAGGCGGUUCUCUGGGACGGUACUGACGCUGAGACGCGAAAGCGUGGGGAGCGAACAGG
rnacentral:rRNA from 1 species